rnacentral:rRNA from 1 species
GUUAAGCUCUUCAGCGCCGAUGGUAGUUGGGGGAUCUCCCCCUGUGAGAGUAGGACGUCGCCAGGC